GGGGGAGGGGGUGGUGGUGAUGGUUAAAAUGCUUCAUUUAUUAUAACACACAGAAAAGGACACAUUUAAUUCUUUUUUUGAGGGGAGGGGUGAAGGGUGUUAAAAGGCUUUAUUUAUUAUAAUAUACAGAAAAAGGCCUAAUAUACCAUUCACGUAUUAGAAAUACAACAACAACAACAACAACAAACCCAGUGUAUUCCCACAUAGUGGGGUCUGAGGAGGGUAAAAUGUACGCAGUCCAUACCACUACCUUUGAUGAGGUAAAGAGGCUGUUUUCGAUAGACCCCCAGCUCACGACAUGAGAUACUAAUUAAAUCCAAAAUAAAUCAUGGGAAAAGAUGAAUAGACAUAACUAAUCCACCCACAAAGUAUAAUAAACAAAGAAUAGUAAGCAAAUACGUUAUAAGGCAUGCAACAAUGUGGCAUAACAAGAAAAG
rnacentral:lncRNA from 1 species